rnacentral:rRNA from 1 species
GAAUCUUGCGCAAUGGCCGAAAGGCUGACGCAGCGACGCCGCGUGCGGGAGGAAGCCCUUCGGGGUGUAAACCGCUGUCAGGGGGGAAGAAACCCAAGGGUUCGAACAGGGCCUUUGGCUGACGGUACCCCCCGAGGAAGCGCCGGCUACCUCCGUGCCCGCAGCCGCGGUAAGACGGAGGGCGCGAGCGUUGUUCGGAAUUACUGGGCGUAAAGCGCGCGCAGGCGGACGUGGCAAGUCGGUGGUGAAAUCCUGGGGCUCAACCCUGGGGCUGCUGCCGAUACUGCUCGUCUAGGGACCGGUAGGGGCCGGUGGAAUUCCCGGUGUAGCGGUGGAAUGCGUAGAGAUCGGGAAGAACACCUGUGGCGAAGGCGGCCGGCUGGGCCGGAUCCGACGCUGAGGUGCGAAAGCAUGGGGAGCAAACA